rnacentral:rRNA from 1 species
ACUCCUACGGGAGGCAGCAGUAGGGAAUCUUCCACAAUGGACGCAAGUCUGAUGGAGCAACGCCGCGUGAGUGAAGAAGGGUUUCGGCUCGUAAAGCUCUGUUGUUAAAGAAGAACGUGGGUGAAAGUAACUGUUCACCCAGUGACGGUAUUUAACCAGAAAGCCACGGCUAACUACGUGCCAGCAGCCGCGGUAAUACGUAGGUGGCAAGCGUUAUCCGGAUUUAUUGGGCGUAAAGCGAGCGCAGGCGGUCUUUUAAGUCUAAUGUGAAAGCCUUCGGCUCAACCGAAGAAGUGCAUUGGAAACUGGGAGACUUGAGUGCAGAAGAGGACAGUGGAACUCCAUGUGUAGCGGUGAAAUGCGUAGAUAUAUGGAAGAACACCAGUGGCGAAGGCGGCUGUCUGGUCUGUAACUGACGCUGAGGCUCGAAAGCAUGGGUAGCGAACAGGAUUAGAUACCCUGGUAGGAUAGCG